rnacentral:snoRNA from 1 species
CAGAGUCCGAUGAUUAAACAUUUUUCGGAUGUAAAUCAUAACAAUAUCCGAGAGCGCAAAACCGUGUGGAUAUUUUCCGUUGCCUUCCUUCUGAGGUCUCA